UGUGAAAUCGUCCGGCUUAACCGGACGGCGUGCAGGGGAGACUGCAUUCCUAGGGACCGGGAGGAGUCAGAAGUAUUCCGGGGGGAGCGGUAAAAUGCUAUAAUCCCUGGAAGACUACCUGUGGCGAAGGCGUCUGACUAGAACGGAUCCGACUGUGAGGGACGAAAGCCAGGGGAGCAAACCGGAUUAGAUACCCGAGUAGUCCUGGCCGUAAACGCUGCGAGCUAGGUAUUGCGUAUUCUCCAUGAAUAUGCAGUAUCGGAGCGAAGGUGUUAAGCUCGCCGCCUGGGAAGUACGGUCGCAAGACUGAAACUUUAAGGAAUUGGCGGGGGAGCACUACAAGGGGUGGAGCGUGCGGUUUAAUCUAACUCAACGCAGAGAAUCUCACUAGAGGCGACGGCAGGAUGAAGGUCAGUCUGAAGGGCUUACCUGACAAGCCGAGAGGUGGUGCAUGGCCGCCGUCAGCUCGUGCCGUGAGGUGUCCAGUUAAGUCUGGCAACGAGCGAGACCUGUAUCCGCUAUUGCUAACAGCUCUUUCGAGGACUGAGCACAUUGCGGGGACUGCCUUGGAAACAAGGAGGAAGGUGCAGGCAACGGUAGGUCUGUAUGCCCCGAAUCCUCUAGGCUACACGCGCGCAACAAUGGCCGGGACAAUGGGUCGCGACCCCGAGAGGGGAAGCUAAUCCUCGAAACCCGGUCUUAGUACAGAUUGAGGCUUGUAACUC
rnacentral:rRNA from 1 species